GACGAACGCUGGCGGCGUGCUUAACACAUGCAAGUCGAGCGGAGCGGCGAACGGGUGAGUAAGGCGUGAGUAACUGCCCCCCUCUCUGGGAUAACAGUUGGAAACGGCUACCAAUACCGGAUAGUGGGGGUUGACUCGGGUCCUAUCAGCUGGUGGGUUGGGUAGUGGCCUACCAAGGGGACGACGGGUAGCCCGCCUGAGAGGGCGACCGGCCACAUGGGGCUGGGGUAGGACCCAGAGGGCAACGGUCGGCAGCAGUGGAAAAUAUGGCACAAUAGGGCAAACCGUGAUGCAGCAACGCCGGGUGCGGAAUGACGGGCUACGGGUUAUAAACCGCUUUCAGCCAUGACGCGGUAGUGGCAGAAAAAGCAACGGCUAACUACGUGCCAGCAGCCGCGGUAAUAC
rnacentral:rRNA from 1 species